ACAGAACAUUGUUAAACGAUCAAGUGAGUUACACUUUGCCUAGGGGCUAUCUAUUACCCUUUUUGGUAUAAUUGUGCUCUUUGCUGUUUUAGAGGCGUUUAGUUAAAUAUUAAGAGUCAAACAAGGAUUAUUCUUCAGUGUCUUCACGUUUUGUAGAUUAUUGCCUGUAGAUUAUGACUGUUAUUUGGUUUGCAGAGUGAAAAUCGUUACUGGAAUCUGAUUAUCGCAACAGGCAUCUAUUUGGUUAUCUCUUUGUAACAAUGCGUCUCAUUAUUCUCGACACGGCCGAUUAUGUCGGCGAAUGGUCCGCCAAGUAUGUGAUGAAGCGAAUCAAUGACUUCAAACCGGGACCGGACCGAUAUUUCACGCUUGGUCUACCGACUGGAUCGACCCCGCUGGGGCUGUACAAGAAUCUGAUUAAGUUCCACAAUGCCGGCAAGAUAUCAUUCAAGUACGUGAAAACCUUCAACAUGGAUGAGUAUGUCAACCUGCCCCGGGAACACCCGGAAAGCUACCACUAUUUUAUGUGGCACAACUUUUUCAAACACAUCGACAUCGACCCGGUUAACGUGCACAUACUGAACGGUAACGCGCCGGAUCUGGUGGCGGAGUGUAAUGCCUUCGAGGACAAAAUCAAAGCUGCCGGCGGAAUUGAGCUUUUUAUAGGAGGAAUCGGACCGGACGGCCAUAUUGCCUUUAACGAGCCCGGAUCGUCGUUGGUUUCGAGAACCCGCGUGAAAACACUCGCCCAGGAUACACUGGAAGCAAAUGCGAGAUUUUUCGGCAAUGACAUCAACAAGGUGCCGAAACAGGCACUCACCGUCGGUGUUGGGACGGUGAUGGACUCCCGGGAGGUGAUGAUUUUGAUUAUCGGCGCGCACAAGGCGUUUGCACUGUACAAGGCCAUUGAGGAAGGUGUUAAUCAUAUGUGGACCGUAAGUGCCUUCCAGCAGCACCCGCACACGAUUAUGAUUUGCGACGAGGACGCCACGCUGGAGCUGCGCGUUAAGACGGUCAAGUAUUUCAAGGCUCUGAGCCAAAUUCAUCAUAAACUGAUCGAAGACGACGCAAAAGAUGUACGAAUGUUCAAAUAAUUCUAACUCUGUAGUUUGGAAGUUUUAGCCUGCUUGCAAACCUCUACUAUCGUGGCAUUUGACCAAUCAAAAACUACUCUUUGAUUCGAAGUGACCCGAUUGCACCAUCACCCAACAGCAAAGUCCAUUCCCGCAAGACCAAACAUCAUCAAAUGAGCCUGUACGAUGUUCAUUCGAAGCUGAUCGAAGGGACGUGAAGCGGCGGCCGGAACGAAACGGAAAUAUGUAUCAUGUUACUUCCUGCCGGAGAGUGAUCGAAACAAAUAAAAAAAAAAAAAACAAAAAUGAAAAAGCGCUCGAAUCCAAAGUGUAGUUUAAGUAAGUCAUUUGUUUGCCAGUUUUCCACUUCAUUUCAAUAAUAGUGUAACCAAUUUUUCACCUGC